UACGUAGGGACCAAGCGUUGUUCGGAUUUACUGGGCGUAAAGGGCGCGUAGGCGGCCAUGCGUGUCUUUCGUGAAAUCCCUCGGCUUAACUGAGGACGUGCGGAAGAAACUGCAAGGCUUGAGUCCGGGAGAGGGGGGUGGAAUUCCCAGUGUAGCGGUGAAAUGCGUAGAUAUUGGGAGGAACACCGGUGGCGAAGGCGGCCCCCUGGACCGGUACUGACGCUGAGGCGCGAAAGCGUGGGUAGCAAACGGG
rnacentral:rRNA from 1 species